rnacentral:rRNA from 1 species
CACGUAGGGGCAAGCGUUGUCCGGAUUUAUUGGGCGUAAAGAGCUCGUAGGUGGUUCGGUAAGUCAGGUGUGAAACCUCCAGGCUCAACCUGGGAGACGCCACUUGAUACUGCUGUGACUGGAGUCCGGUAGAGGAGCUUGGAAUUCUCGGUGUAGCAAGUGGAAAUGCGUAGAUAUCGAGAAGAACGCUCGCAGCGAAGGCGAAGCUCUGGGCAAAUUCUGACGUGAUGCACGAAAGGGCUAGGGGGAGCAAAACGGGG